CCUUUCGUGUCCUUUUCUAGUUUGAUGUAGCGGUUGAUUUGGCAAAGAAAAUCUGUUCAUGCGAGUUUGGGUGCAUCAUUUUUGUAGAUGGAUUCGAGCCCAUGCGAUGAGUUCUUGCUUAAGGAUUCGUCCUUUGCCUAGGAUUCUCAAGUUUGCGGCCGCCCCCGCCCUGUCGCUGAUGGAUUCGAGCCCGUGCGAGGAGUUCUUGCUUAAGGAUUCGUCCUCAUCGGACGAAAAUAUGUUCAUGCGAGUUUUGGUGCAUCAUUUUUGUAGAUGGAUUCAAGCCCAUGCGAGGAGUUCUUGCUUGAGGAUUCGUCCUCAUCGGACGACUCAGACAUAGAGUCGCUGCUCGAGAGACAUAGACAACAAAUGUUGGUGGUGGUGCUCACCAUGAAGGAGCACGAGGAUCGGGACCGGAAGAGACGAUGAGGAUCGACCGUCGGUCGCCUGUGCAUACCUCACAACCGACAUCUUGGAAACCAGAUACUAAUGCAAGGCCAUUUCACGGAGAAUCCAACAUAUCCGUCACACCUCUUUCGAAGAUGGUAUCAAAUGCGUCGAUCCCUCUUCGUAAAAUUAGUGUAAGCUUGCGAAGCAAAUUCUUGUUUUUUCUUCACUCAAUGAAGAAACACCGCUAGCUUGAAAGGUUUUGGCGCAUAUCAAAAAAUCUAGCUUGAAAGGUUUUGGCGCAUAUCAAAAAAUCUCGAUAGCUAUGCGAGUGAUUGCAUAUGACGUUUCAGUUGACUAUGCCGGCAUUGACGAAGAUACUACAAUAGAGUCAAUGCGUAGGUUUGCCAAAGCGACCGGUCGUGUCUUUGGCCCUGUCUAUCUCCGUGCACCUUGGCCCUGUCUAUCUCCGUGCACCUUGGCCCUGUCUAUCUCCGUGCACCAAACAAGGAAGACACAAAACAGGAAGCCUUGAUUGCUUGGAUUGGACUUGGAAAAAUGGCCCGAAGGCAUGACACGGGCAGUAUUCUUUGAUGUAUGAAUUUGACAUUGCUUUUUUUAUAUAUAAGAUACUCAUAAUGAUA